rnacentral:rRNA from 1 species
UACGGGGGGGGGUAAGCGUUGUUCGGAAUUACUGGGCGUAAAGGGCUCGUAGGCGGCCAACUAAGUCAUACGUGAAAUCCCUCAGCUUAACUGGGGAACUGCGUGUGAUACUGGAUGGCUUGGAUUUGGGAGAGGGAUGCGGAAUUCCAGGUGUAGCGGUGAAAUGCGUAGAUAUCUGGAGGAACACCGGUGGCGAAGGCGGCAUCCUGGACCAAUAUUGACGCUGAGGAGCGAAAGCCAGGGGAGCAAAGCGGGAUUAAGAA